UGAAUCCGCGCGGGAGAGUUCCGGCCGGGUCGUACGCAUCUCUGUACGGCCCGCGUCACAGGAACGCCGAAGGAGCAAGUCCCUCCCUUGAAUCUCUCAGGCCCCGUACCGCGCGGGCGAG
rnacentral:ncRNA from 2 species